UGGGGAAUAUUGCACAAUGGGCGCAAGCCUGAUGCAGCCAUGCCGCGUGUGUGAAGAAGGCCUUCGGGUUGUAAAGCACUUUCAGCGAGGAGGAAGGUGGUGACUUAAUACGUCAUCAAUUGACGUUACUCGCAGAAGAAGCACCGGCUAACUCCGUGCCAGCAGCCGCGGUAAUACGGAGGGUGCAAGCGUUAAUCGGAAUUACUGGGCGUAAAGCGCACGCAGGCGGUUUGUUAAGUCAGAUGUGAAAUCCCCGGGCUCAACCUGGGAACUGCAUUUGAAACUGGCAAGCUAGAGUCUCGUAGAGGGGGGUAGAAUUCCAGGUGUAGCGGUGAAAUGCGUAGAGAUCUGGAGGAAUACCGGUGGCGAAGGCGGCCCCCUGGACGAAGACUGACGCUCAGGUGCGAAAGCGUGGGGAGCAAACAGAUUAGAUACCCUGGUAGUCCACGCUGUAAACGAUGUCGAUUUUGGAGGUUGUGCCCUUGAGGCGUGGCUUCCGGAGCUAACGCGUUAAAGUCGACCGCCUGGGGAGUACGGCCGCAAGGUUAAAACUCAAAGUGAAUU
rnacentral:rRNA from 1 species